UCACCGAUGGCUUAGUGGUUAGAGUGUCAGCCUCGGAUGCAGGAGGUUGUGGGUUCGAUUCCCGGUGAGUUGAG